GCGCACUUUUCGCACCGGUUCUUGAAAACCGGUGGGAAAAGAAAUGGGCGGGAUUGGGGAAAAUACUUUUCCCACCAGUUCCUAAUAAACCGGUGCGAAAUCAUUUUUUUCGCACCGGUUCAAACCGGUGCCAAUUACGAAAUAAAAAAAAAACCGGGCUGUUUUUCUUCUUCUUUCUUUCUUUCUUUCUUUCUUUCCAUGUUCUGUACUUUUAAUUUCCCUCUCAUUUUUGCCUUCGUUCUCUAUCCAUAAUCCCGAAUUGCCCUAGCGUUCUCACUCCAUUAAAGCAGCACCUCCGCCUUCUCACUCCAUUGAAGCAGCACCUCCGCCUCCAUUAAAUCGUGCUCUAUAUUCUCCAUUGAAGCCGAAUCUGAGCAUUCUUACCUCCAUUGAAGCUGCUCCGGCAGGAACUCUAAGGGUCUUAUUGUUCUAAUGAAGACUACUGAUAAGGGCCUGAUAAUGAAAGUGAUUACUCAGAUGGGUCUUUUUCCUAUGAUCCCGAUGAAGGGAGGUUCCAAGAUACAGGAGGCAUACCCUCAUCUUCCAGGAUUUUUCUUAGAAGUAUUCAAUGACUGGAUUGAUCCUGAGCGGCAAGGCUGUCUGUUGUAUGCAUAUGGGAAAUUUUUAUGAAGCAGAAUCACUGUUACUUGAAGCUCUGAACAAGGAGCUUGGACACGUUAAGAUAAAGGAGUGUUGCCUCUAAGUAGUGGAUAGUGGUUCCUGAGUGGUUCCUCAUUGAGAUGGGAACAGUUGCAAUCGAUGCUGCUCAAUUGGCAAGCGAGCAUCAAUCAGCAAAUAGGAGAGGUCAGAGGAUGAAAACUACGAUGAAGAGUGAGUUAGCCUUCUCUCAUUGUUUUGUAAAAUAAGUUGAUUUGAUAUUCUUCUAUCUGAAUUAGAUUAGACGUACAUAAAUUUGACGAGAUUUGUGCCCUAUCUACCUCUAGAUAAUUAAAUUAUGGAAGAUAAGGAAGGGUUGUUAUUUAUGUAUACAUCUGUAGUUUUUAAUCCUUUCAAUAUGUUGUUAGCUUAGGCAAUCAAUGUUUCUUUGAGCUGAUUAUACUAAAACUUUUAAACAAUCCAAAUGAAGUUCGCUAAAUAACUUUGAUGUUUACUUCUAACUUCUAAGUGCAUUCAGAUGAAGCUGAUUGCACUUUUGCACUGUAUCUCAAUGGUCAGUUAUGCCAGAAAAGCACAAACAUCAUGUUGGACACAACUGAGGUCAAGUGAUAGCAUUCAUAGCAAGCUAUUCACUUUAUUGUCUUUUGUUAGAAAUCAAUAUACAAGUACUAUUGAUUCAGAAUUUGGAGUCUAAGGGUAAAUACUGUUAUUACAUACUUUUUUUUCAACCGACAUUUAUUUUUAGAUUUCUUGCUUGGUUUGUGUCAAUGAAAUGCCCGUACGUCUGUAAUGACCUCAAAAUAACUAGAGUCGUGUGUAUUGAGUCCUUUUUUUUCCAGAAAACUUGAUACAACUAAUAGUAAUCUUGAACAAAUUUUGAUUUUUUUAAGUCGCAUAUAUUCACAGAUAGUUUUUGUAAUCCUUCCACACUUUUUACUGUCUUUGUGAAGUAAUCUCGGAUGCGUUAUCCAUCUUUAGAAGUGCUUUUUCCUUCUGUUAUCUCCCUUUUUUUUUUGUUUCCUCUCAAGCUCCUUUGACUAAUGCGAAGGACAUGAUUUUACUACUGUUGGUAUUUGGCUUGUUCCCUGCAGGGAGAAUAUAAUUGAGGUUUUCUCUAAUCAUAGGGUUAUGUUUAAGAUAAUUAUAGUAAGUAACCCUAGCCCGACUACGUGGAGUAUGUACAAAAUUCUUCCUAGAAUUGUUAAAUGUUUAAUCUUAGGAUUUUAUGUAUGGGUUUGCUGUUUGCUGCCUAUUGGUCUGCUGUUCUGCCUGCUGUCUGCUGUUGUGGUUGCGCUGCUGUGUUCAGUGCUGCUUUGAUGACAAGUUGUUGUAUGUUUGUGCUGCUGUUGCACUGUUGUGUUGUUGGUCUGCUGGUUUUGAUAGCUUGUGCUGGGUCUGGUGGUGGCUGCCUAGCCGUGGUGUAGCUUCUAGUUGUUGUUUUGCUUGUAGCUGCUGCUGGGGUUGCUGGUCGUGGUGUGGCUAUGCUGUCGCAUUCUCUAUUGCAGGCUUGGGGUUAGUGGGAGCUGCUGUAGUCUGCUGUUUUUUUUAUCUUAGUUUUUAUUCUAUUUAUCAAAGAUGUAGUGCUCUUUAAUGGAUGUUUGACACAAAUAUUGAAGAAAAUAUAUGUGUUUUAUGUAUAUUAUGAUUAUAUAUAAGUAUUUGUACAAUAUAACUGAAAAAAAUGCAAUAAAAUAAAAUUAUUUUUUAUUUUUUUGGGGCACUUUUGUCACCGGUUUUGGAAAAGAAUCGGUGCUAAAAGUUUU